GGCGGGCCCUCGGCGUCUGCGGCUGUGUGAGCUUCCGCCAGGUCCUUCACCUCUCUGUGCAUCCUUUCCUCAGCAGUAAAUGGGGUAACAACAGAACCCCGCCCCGGAGAUGUGAGGGCAGGACUCCUUACUUACAAGAGUGACCUUUAGCUCUUCAACAUGGCCAGAGAAGCAAACUUACUAGAAGUAGAUGGGGAUGAAGUCCAGAAGCCCAUUUCCAGCCGACCUAUCACUUGUGCUUUGAAACCCCACCGUCUCAUGGGUCUGGAAUAUGGAAUCGUGGAAAACUCUCAUUCAAGAACCGCGCUAGCCUGCCUCCUGCAACAAGCCUGAUUCAUAAAAUGCCAGAACACCGUCCACUCCCUCAGCACGUUCCAUUUCUCGUGAUGGUUCUCAUCUGGAUAAGAUCUGCUUUGAGCUGUCGUGUCAUUGACUCGAGUACAUUUGUACCUUCCAAUUCAGUGCCUGACGAGGGGUCUCCAUUUGCUAUGAGAUGCAGGGAUCAUCGAAAUCACCAACACCAAAAUGAAACAAAAUCCAAUACCUGACUAAUUGCAGAGCUCGCUAACUGGGAACCCUCCAAACCCUCCAGGCAGUUCGAGGCUACAGAUGUGGUUUCUUUGUUCGUUGGCUUGGCUACACAGUGUUUUGUUUUAGUUUUUGCAUAGUUUUCAAAAUUUAAAGAUUUGCAGAUUUCUCCUAAAAAUCAGGAUUUCUGACCUGUGUUGGAAAGUUGGAAGAUUUGGGGACUCUGGCCCCGUCAUCCUGAAUGGUAACACGUGGCAGGCCCCGUUAGAGAGGGCAGCUUACCUCCAGUUUAUAGGCUCCACUGGUCCUGUCGUCCAAUACAUUCUGCUCAUUCAUUUAGGUGACUAGCCUGUAGGUCAUCACAAGGAUAUUUUAUUUAGCCAGUAGUUCUUUAGCUAUUUUUCACUAGGCAAAAAUGUCCUUAUGUAGAUGUUUCCUUUAACUGUGGGCUAUAACAGAGGACAUGGGUCAAGGAAAAAUAAAGGUGACAGCAGGCUCUGCUACAAUUAAAAUUAAAUCUAAAACAGGAAGUCCUUCUCAAAGCUACUCGUCUCUUAGUUUUAUGUAUGCAUGCUACAUGCAGAUUGUCUCUCCCAUGUUUUAUAACUGUGUUAAUAUCCUUGAAUGUGAAUUUUUAUUGAAUGAUAAUAUUCCCGCUUGCAAUUCUGGAGGGCUGGAGUUAGGAGAAGGAAUUUCCAAAUUUGGAAACAAAAAUUGGGGCAUAUUCCAUGUUUUUGGAAAAUCUGUAUUUGUAGCCACGAGCUACAUUUUUAUUGUCAUACUGAAAUGUGCCUUGGUUUUGUGAACUGGGAUAAAACUCGAGUUAUACUAGAGUCAAAAUUCUCCAUGUAAUACUUUGUCCUUCCCAAGGUGGUUUAUAAAGGAGUAGGUAUAAUAAAGACAUUUCAAAAGUCUUAGUUAUUCAUGGCCUUGCUCUCAAGCCAAGGAUCUAAGAGACCCUCAAAUUUCAUACCAGCCAUUUGGAAUGUGAACCUUAAAUCCCCCUCUUACAUUGGAGAACAGCAGGUUUGCUAUCUACUGCCACUUCCAAGACAGGGCUGAGUUACACUGAAACACUACCUGGGGAUCGUGUGGCAUUUACAAGGGGAGAUGUUUGAAGACGACAAGGCAGCAAAAUACACAUGUCACUGUUAGGGGUAGUUUCCAACAAGAUAGUGGGAAGAAUACUCACAAGGUUUCUUUUUUUCAUUCGUUAUUUAGGGGGACUUUUGUCAAAUCUUUUUCAUUGCUUCCCAUUGGCUCCAGAGACAGGCAAAUAGGGCUUUAUUAGAACUGGGUGAACCACCAAGAAUAGUUCAUGAAAAGACAGCAGGAAGGUGUGCACGCAGGGCGUCUGAACGUAAAAAAUGAAGACCCGGGUGCCUGGGUGGCUCUGUCGGUGAAGCAUCUGCUUU